rfam:Mine drainage metagenome 28063676, whole genome shotgun sequence.
UAGGUGGGUGUGGGUGAUCCCUACGGGAUGCCCAUCGCCCACGGGGUCGCUGCCGGGAUGGGUGGCAUUCGGACGGCCGGAGAUCUGGUCGCCCGCAUGC